GACGAACGCUGGCGGCGUGCUUAACACAUGCAAGUCGAACGGAAAGGCCCUGCUUUUGUGGGGUGCUCGAGUGGCGAACGGGUGAGUAACACGUGAGUAACCUGCCCUUGACUUUGGGAUAACUUCAGGAAACUGGGGCUAAUACCGGAGAGGAGCUCCUGCUGCAUGGGGGGGGAUGGAAAGUUUCGGCGGUUGGGGAUGGACUCGCGGCUUAUCAGCUUGUUGGUGGGGUAGUGGCUUACAAAGGGUUUGAAGGGUAGCCGGCCUGAGAGGGUGACCGGCCACAUGGGGACUGAGAUACGGCCCAGACUCCUACGGGAGGCAGCAGUGGGGAAUAUUGCACAAUGGGCGGAAGCCUGAUGCAGCAACGCCGCGUGCGGGAUGACGGCCUUCGGGUUGUAAACCGCUUUCGCCUGUGACGAAGCGUGAGUGACGGUAAUGGGUAAAGAAGCACCGGCUAACUACGUG
rnacentral:rRNA from 1 species